AACGAACGCUGGCGGCAGGCCUAACACAUGCAAGUCGAACGCGCGUAGCAAUACGCGAGUGGCGCACGGGUGAGUAACACGUGGGAACCAACCCAGAGGUUCGGAAUAACCGCGGGAAACUGCGGCUAAUACCGGAUAUCCCCUACGGGGGAAAGAUUUAUCGCCUCUGGACGGGCCCGCGUCCGAUUAGCUAGUUGGUGAGGUAAUGGCUCACCAAGGCGACGAUCGGUAGCUGGUCUGAGAGGACGACCAGCCACACUGGAACUGAGACACGGUCCAGACUCCUACGGGAGGCAGCAGUGGGGAAUAUUGGG
rnacentral:rRNA from 1 species